rnacentral:rRNA from 1 species
GACGAACGCUGGCGGCGUGCUUAACACAUGCAAGUCGAACGAUGAAGCCGGAGCUUGCUCUGGUGAAUUAGUGGCGAACGGGUGAGUAACACGUGAGUAACCUGCCCUUGACUCUGGGAUAACUGCGGGAAACUGUAGCUAAUACCGGAUACGACCCUCGGAGGCAUCUCCUGGGGGUGGAAAGAAUUUCGGUCAAGGAUGGACUCGCGGCCAAUCAGCUAGUUGGUAAGGUAAAGGGUCACCACGGCGACGACGGGUAGCCGGCCUGAGGGGGUGACCGGCCACACUGGGACUGAGACACGGCCCAGACUCCUACGGGAGGCAGCAGUGGGGAAUAUUGCACAAUGGGCGCAAGCCUGAUGCAGCAACGCCGCGUGAGGGAUGACGGCCUUCGGGUUGUAAACCUCUUUUAGCAGGGAAGAAGCGAAAGUGACGGUACCUGCAGAAAAAGCACCGGCUAACUACGUGCCAGCCGCCGCGGUAA